rnacentral:rRNA from 1 species
AGGAAAAGAAACUAACAAGGAUUCCCCUAGUAACGGCGAGUGAAGCGGGAAGAGCUCAAAUUUGAAAUCUGGCAGUCUUCGAUUGUCCGAGUUGUAAUCUAUAGAGGCGUUUUCCGUGCCGGACCGUGUCCAAGUCUCCUGGAAAGGAGUAUCAAAGAGGGUGAUAAUCCCGUACUUAACACGACCACCGGUGCUCUGUGAUACGUCUUCUACGAGUCGAGUUGUUUGGGAAUGCAGCUCAAAAUGGGUGGUGAAUUCCAUCUAAAGCUAAAUAUUGGCGAGAGACCGAUAGCGAACAAGUACCGUGAGGGAAAGAUGAAAAGCACUUUGGAAAGAGAGUUAAACAGUACGUGAAAUUGUUGAAAGGGAAACGAUUGAAGUCAGUCGUGUUCUUUGGAUUCAGCCAGUUCUGCUGGUCUACUUCCUUUGAACGGGUCAACAUCAGUUUUGUCCGGUGGAUAAAGGCAGUAGGAAUGUAGCUUCUCCGGAAGUGUUAUAGCCUAUUGUCACAUACACUGGGUGAGACUGAGGACUGCAGCUCGCCUUUAUGGCCGACCUUCGGGUACGUUCGAGCUUAGGAUGUUGACAUAAUGGCUUUAAACGACCCGUCUU